GACGCUGGCGGUAGGCUUAACACAUGCAAGUCGUGCGAGAAAGUAUCUUCGGAUAUGAGUAGAGCGGCGGACGGGUGAGUAACGCGUAGGAAUCUACCUAGUAGAAGGGGAUAGCCCGAGGAAACUCGGAUUAAUACCGUAUACCUCCUUAGGGAGAAAGAGGGCCUCUCUUGAUGCUCUCGCUAUUAGAUGAGCCUGCGUAAGAUUAGCUUGUUGGUGAGGUAAUGGCUCACCAAGGCUACGAUCUUUAGCUGGUCUGAGAGGACGAUCAGCCACAUUGGGACUGAGACACGGCCCAGACUCCUACGGGAGGCAGCAGUGGGGAAUAUUGGACAAUGGGCGCAAGCCUGAUCCAGCCAUACCGCGUGUGUGAAGAAGGCCUUCGGGUUGUAAAGCACUUUAAGCAGGGAGAAAAAGUUAUAAGCUAAUACCUUAUAACCGUGAUGUUACCUGCAGAAUAAGCACCGGCUAAUUCCGUGCCAGCAGCCGCGGUAAUACGGAAGGUGCAAGCGUUAAUCGGAAUUACUGGGCGUAAAGCGCGCGUAGGUGGUUUGUUAAGUUGGAUGUGAAAGCCCUGGGCUCAACCUAGGAACUGCAUCCAAAACUAACUCACUAGAGUACGAUAGAGGGAGGUAGAAUUCAUAGUGUAGCGGUGGAAUGCGUAGAUAUUAUGAAGAAUACCGGUGGCGAAGGCGGCCUCCUGGAUCUGUACUGACACUGAGGUGCGAAAGCGUGGGUAGCGAACAGGAUUAGAUACCCUGGUAGUCCACGCCGUAAACGAUGACAACUAGCUGUUGGGAGACAAUGUUUUUCAGUGGCGCAGCUAACGUUUUAAGUUGUCCGCCU
rnacentral:rRNA from 1 species